GGUGGACGGUUGGACUGGAUGAUUUGUAGGUCUUUUCCAACCUCGGUGAUUCUGUGAUUUGUGUUGGUGCUGAGAGCCCCUCCCUGCACAUAGGAUUCCAGAUACAGCCCUCCAGUGCAGAGCAGAGGGGAAAGCCGCCCUCGUCUUUCUGACCACGCUCUUGAAGGCUCCCCAGGGUCCCAUUGGCCACCAGGGCACACUGCUGCCUCUCGGUCCCCCUGCUGGCCACCAGGACCCCCAGGUCUUUCUCCUCAGGGCUCCUUUGCAGCCCCCAGCCUGUACUGAUGCGUGUGGUUAUUCCUCCCCAGGUGCAGGACCCUACGUUGCCUGUGUUCAACUGCAUCGUAUUCCUCUCUGCCCAGCUCUGCCUGUCCAGGUGUCGUUGAAUGGCAGCACAGCCUUCUGCUGUGCCACAACCAUUCCUCACAGCUUCGUACCAUCAGCAAACUCUGAGGGUCUAAUGACUGUCCCUUUGAUGAAGAGGGAAAGCUGAGCCCAGCUGAGUGGAGAAGUGAGACCAGGGAACGCUGGAAAUGACAACAGGGUCACCACUCGACACCUCAAUGUCAUCCAAAUGUCGGUGCUGUGAAUAUGGUGCAGUACAGAAUGGGGAAACACCUCUCUUGUAAUCUGGGCACAUUACAUGUUUUCAGGGGAUCCAGAAGGUUUUGUUGCAUGAGAGAAAGAGAAUCGCUUUCUGAUCAGUGGGAGUAUCAGGCUUCACCGAUGAGCACCUUAUCUCCCUGUUCACACUCAGUGAUGAACUUCUGGCAUUGAGUGGCAAAGGAAAAUGAGGGAUACUGUUACAUAGACUGAGCUUGUCAGGGUGAUGCAGAACGUGUAUUGAAAUUAGGCUAAAAACAGGAGAAGAAUCUUCAGGCAGUAAAGAAGACAGCUUGCAGCCACCUGUAGGUUGAAGAAAAAGCUCUGCAUGAUGUUUGCAACAGAAACUGAGCAUGCAGCCGUUCCUGGAACCAACAGCUGUGUUCGGGGGAGAUGGAAACCUCCACUGUGAGGGGGGAGGAAUUUCCAAUUGCUCAGGAUGAAAUAUUUCCUAGCACUGCUGGAGAAGCAGCACCUUGGGCUCAGAAGUGCUGGUAAGAGAGUUUUCCAGAGGGGCCUCAGUGCUCAAACACCUUGAGGGAAAGU